UUUAUGAAAUUAAAAUAAUUUGGCGGUAUUUUAGUCUAUUCAGAGGAAUUUGUUUUAUAAUCGAUAAUCCCCGUUAAAUCUUAUUUAUUUUAUUUAAUUUGUAUAUUGUUGUCAUUAGAAUAUUUUAUAAGAAUAAUAAUUUUCUUAAAUUAUUUAAAAUUUUAUGUCAAAUCAAGGUGCAGUUUAUAUUUAAGUAAAAAUGAAUUACAUUAAUAUAUAAUUAAAUGAAUUAAAAAUUGAAACAUUUUUAUGAAGGUGGAUUU
rnacentral:rRNA from 1 species